AAGGAGUGUCAGCAGGGGGCAGAAGUGCCGCUUUCAUGGUGUAAAACGGAGAACAGAAGGAAACUGGAAAGAAACCAGGAAGUAGAUUCCUUCUAGCUUUCCUCCGUCUUCCAUGAGGCUCCUGCUGCUGGACUUCCAGGACGUUUACUGGAUUUAGCUAAGCUCAGGCAUCUUCCAGUCUUUCCAUCCAGCGUGGGACUUUAAAGAAUCUGCAGUGGCUGUUUUAACAUCUACACGUGCAGCUCUGCUGUGCGUCGUCUUCUGGCUUCUGUCUGCUGGUCCAACUGAAGACAACCAUUGUUGUAGGGACAGCAGGGACAGCCAAUCACGGAGCACUAGACAGAGCAGAGCCAAUCAGAGCAGAGAAAUGGGUUUUAAGGUGGGACUUACAGCAGAGAUUCCUUGUUGCAGAUUAACUACGGAGACUGUGAUCUGUGGUAGGGACGAGUUAGGACCUGCUGGACUUGUAGGGACAUUGUCCCCAAUUCUACGUCCAUGCUGUAGAACCGGGUGUCCAA